AUGGCCAGAGCGCGGGGAGUAAUUGCCGCGGUCUCCGCGGCGACUGGCCGACUUCGCCAGACUGAUCCUCGCGCCCCUCCUGGUCUCGGGGAGCGGCACUUCGCCCGCAGGCCGCGGAGCAAGAGCCUCAGCUCUGCUGAGCCCCUCUCUGGGGCGUGCUCAAGUCCUGAACUUUUAGCCGGACCUGGCAAAUGGCAUGCCGGGCUUCGGAUUUGAAGCCAGACCUAGAGCACGAAGGGAAUUCCGAAUUCUUGGGCAAAAGAGAUGACGGGGUGGUUGCUAUGACGACUCCAGGAUCUGCCUUCAUCCCUCAAUGAGCAGGGGGAGGCGGACACUGUGGAAGGCACUUUCCUCUGGAGAUUUCAGAUGUUCACGU
rnacentral:lncRNA from 1 species